rnacentral:rRNA from 1 species
UACGUAGGGGGCAAGCGUUGUCCGGAAUUAUUGGGCGUAAAGAGCUCGUAGGCGGUCUGUCGCGUCGGAUGUGAAAAUCCAGGGCUCAACCCUGGACCUGCAUUCGAUACGGGCAGACUAGAGUUCGGUAGGGGAGACUGGAAUUCCUGGUGUAGCGGUGAAAUGCGCAGAUAUCAGGAGGAACACCGGUGGCGAAGGCGGGUCUCUGGACAGUUCCUGACGCUGAAGCACGAAGGCCAGGGGAGCAAACGGG